GUUCGCUUAAACUGGGAUUAUAUGUAGAGUGUCUUACAAAAAUUAGGCUUCCCCCCAUCUGUGGAUAGUAUUAUGACACUAUAUUCGAAACCCUCAGCAAAGGUCUUUAAUACUGGGGGGGGGGUUUUGUUUUUUUUUAAUACCUAAAAUUUGAAAUUACAAAUGGAACUCGCCAAGGUUGCCCAUUGUCCCCACUGAUCUUUAUAUUGAGCUUUGAAUCCCUGGUUAGACACAUAAAAU